rnacentral:rRNA from 1 species
UACGUAGGGCGCAAGCGUUGUCCGGAAUUAUUGGGCGUAAAGAGCUCGUGGGCGGCUUGUCGCGUCGAUUGUGAAAGCCCGGGGCUUAACUCCGGGUCUGCAGUCGAUACGGGCAGGCUAGAGUGUGGUAGGGGAGAUCGGAAUUCCUGGUGUAGCGGUGAAAUGCGCAGAUAUCAGGAGGAACACCGGUGGCGAAGGCGGAUCUCUGGGCCAUUACUGACGCUGAGGAGCGAAAGCGUGGGGAGCGAACAGG